GACGUAGGGCGCGAGCGUUGUCCGGACUUAUUGGGCGUAAAGAGCUCGUAGGCGGCUUGUCGCGUCGUCUGUGAAAACCCGCGGCUCAACGGCGGGCUUGCAGUCGAUACGGGCAGGCUGGAGUUCGGUAGGGGAGACUGGAAUUCCUGGUGUAGCAGUGAAAUGCGUAGAUAUCAGGAGGAACACCGAUGGCGAAGGCAGGUCUCUGGGCUGACACUGACGCUCAUGCACGAAAGCGUGGGGAGCAAACAGG
rnacentral:rRNA from 1 species